CUCGUAGGUGGCCAACUAAGUCAGACGUGAAAUCCCUCGGCUUAACCGGGGAACUGCGUCUGAUACUGGAUGGCUUGAGUUUGGGAGAGGGACGCGGAAUUCCAGGUGUAGCGGUGAAAUGCGUAGAUAUCUGGAGGAACACCGGUGGCGAAGGCGGCGUCCUGGACCAAUACUGACACUGAGUGAGCGAAAGCCAGGGGAGCAAACG
rnacentral:rRNA from 1 species